UACGGAGGAUGCGAGCGUUAUCCGGAUUUAUUGGGUUUAAAGGGUGCGUGGGCGGACGCUUAAGCCAGCGGUAAAAUUGCGGGGCUCAACCUCGUCGAGCCGUUGAAACUGGGUGCCUUGAGUGGGCGAGAAGUACGCGGAAUGCGUGGUGUAGCGGUGAAAUGCAUAGAUAUCACGCAGAACUCCGAUUGCGAAGGCAGCGUACCGGCGCCCUACUGACGCUGAAGCACGAAGGCGUGGGUAUCGAACAGG
rnacentral:rRNA from 1 species